rnacentral:rRNA from 2 species
UGCUAAUACAUGCAAGUCGACGAACUCUGGUAUUGAUUGGUGCUUGCAUCAUGAUUUACAUUUGAGUGAGUGGCGAACUGGUGAGUAACACGUGGGAAACCUGCCCAGAAGCGGGGGAUAACACCUGGAAACAGAUGCUAAUACCGCAUAACAACUUGGACCGCAUGGUCCGAGUUUGAAAGAUGGCUUCGGCUAUCACUUUUGGAUGGUCCCGCGGCGUAUUAGCUAGAUGGUGGGGUAACGGCUCACCAUGGCAAUGAUACGUAGCCGACCUGAGAGGGUAAUCGGCCACAUUGGGACUGAGACACGGCCCAAACUCCUACGGGAGGCAGCAGUAGGGAAUCUUCCACAAUGGACGAAAGUCUGAUGGAGCAACGCCGCGUGAGUGAAGAAGGGUUUCGGCUCGUAAAACUCUGUUGUUAAAGAAGAACAUAUCUGAGAGUAACUGUUCAGGUAUUGACGGUAUUUAACCAGAAAGCCACGGCUAACUACGUGCCAGCAGCCGCGGUAAUACGUAGGUGGCAAGCGUUGUCCGGAUUUAUUGGGCGUAAAGCGAGCGCAGGCGGUUUUUUAAGUCUGAUGUGAAAGCCUUCGGCUCAACCGAAGAAGUGCAUCGGAAACUGGGAAACUUGAGUGCAGAAGAGGACAGUGGAACUCCAUGUGUAGCGGUGAAAUGCGUAGAUAUAUGGAAGAACACCAGUGGCGAAGGCGGCUGUCUGGUCUGUAACUGACGCUGAGGCUCGAAAGUAUGGGUAGCAAACAGGAUUAGAUACCCUGGUAGUCCAUACCGUAAACGAUGAAUGCUAAGUGUUGGAGGGUUUCCGCCCUUCAGUGCUGCAGCUAACGCAUUAAGCAUUCCGCCUGGGGAGUACGGCCGCAGGCUGAAACUCAAGGANGACGGGGGCCCGCACAGCGUGAGCAUGUGG